GUUACACUGGGAUCCAGUCAUCCAUUGGCACAGAGGCACAGUUUCCACUUUGAUACAAUCUGUGUCAGCCUGGCAGUUAAUUUAUUUAGCAGCAUCUUAAAUUUUUUUUUUCAUAAAAUCCAGCUCCUGCAGGAUAUUUAUCAGCAUCUUUGCAAGACAGGAUGAAUUCAAAAUAAAGUAUAGGAGAAGAAACAUUCAGCUGCCUCCUGGUUAUAAAGCAAAGCCAAACUGGAGAGAAGACCAGUGCCAGAGCCUUUAUUACUAAAAGGCACAUGCAAAGUGCUGUAAGAAUUCACAGGAUGGAGAGAACAUCUGUGGCAGUGGACAGAGUCAUGAGUGACCACAGAAGGCUUUCUGGAGGCAGGACUUGAGAUAAUUGCCUUUGAUGAGUUAAGGGCGGAUUUUAAGAGCCCCAUAGACCAGUGCAACCCUGUUCAUGCGAGGGAACGGCUGAGGAACAUCGAGCGCAUCUGCUUCCUUCUGCGAAAGCUGGUGCUGCCAGAAUACUCCAUCCAUAGCCUCUUCUGCAUUAUGUUCCUGUGUGCGCAAGAGUGGCUCACGCUGGGGCUGAAUGUCCCUCUACUUUUCUAUCACUUCUGGAGGUAUUUCCACUGUCCGGCAGAUAGCUCAGAACUAGCCUACGACCCACCGGUGGUCAUGAAUGCCGACACUUUGAGUUACUGUCAGAAGGAGGCCUGGUGUAAGCUGGCCUUCUAUCUCCUCUCCUUCUUCUACUACCUUUACUG
rnacentral:sRNA from 1 species